CCAAAGUGCAAAUUUGGAGACGCACCUUAGAAGGUGCCGGGGCUUCUCCCGUUU
rnacentral:tRNA from 1 species